ACGGUACAACGAGUCGCAAGACCGCGAGGUUUAGCAAAUCUCUUAAAGCCGUUCUCAGUUCGGAUUNUAGGCUGCAACUCGCCUACAUGAAGUCGGAAUCGCUAGUAAUCGCGGAUCAGCAUGCCGCGGUGAAUACGUUCCCGGGCCUUGUACACACCGCCCGUCACACCAUGAGAGUUUGUAACACCCAAAGCCGGUGGGGUAACCUUUUGGAGCCAGCCGUCUAAGGUGGGACAGAUGAUUAGGGUGAAGUCGUAACAAGGUAAC
rnacentral:rRNA from 1 species